rnacentral:rRNA from 1 species
AGCGAACGCUGGCGGCAGGCCUAACACAUGCAAGUCGAGCGGCCGUAGCAAUACGGCAGCGGCAGACGGGAGAGUAACACGUGGGAACGCGCCCUUCGGUUCGGAAUAACUCAGGGAAACUUGGGCUAAUACCGGAUACGCCCUUACGGGGAAAGAUUUAUUGCCGAAGGAACGGCCCGCGUCCGAUUAGCUAGUUGGUGAGGUAAUGGCUCACCAAGGCGACGAUCGGUAGCUGGUCUGAGAGGAUGACCAGCCUCACUGGGACUGAGACACGGCCCAGACUCCUACGGGAGGCAGCAGUGGGGAAUAUUGGACAAUGGGCGCAAGCCUGAUCCAGCCAUGCCGCGUGUGUGAUGAAGGCCCUAGGGUUGUAAAGCCCUUUCGGCGGGGAAGAUAAUGACGGUACCCGCAGAAGAAGCCCCGGCUAACUUCGUGCCAGCCGCCGCGGUAAUAC